UACGGAGGGUGCAAGCGUUAUCCGGAUUCACUGGGUUUAAAGGGUGCGUAGGUGGGCAAGUAAGUCAGUGGUGAAAUCUCCGGGCUUAACCCGGAAACUGCCAUUGAUACUAUUUGUCUUGAAUACUGUGGAGGUCAGCGGAAUAUGUCAUGUAGCGGUGAAAUGCUUAGAGAUCGGGAAGAACAUCAGUGGCGAAGGCGGCCUGCUGGGCUGUUGCUGACGCUGAGGCGCGACAGCGUGGGGAGCAAACAGG
rnacentral:rRNA from 1 species